GACGAACGCUGGCGGCGUGCUUAACACAUGCAAGUCGAACGGUAAGGCCCUUCGGGGUACACGAGUGGCGAACGGGUGAGUAACACGUGGGUGAUCUGCCCUGCACUUCGGGAUAAGCCUGGGAAACUGGGUCUAAUACCGGAUAGGACCACUGCCUGCAUGGGUGGUGGUGGAAAGCUUUUGCGGUGUGGGAUGGGCCCGCGGCCUAUCAGCUUGUUGGUGGGGUGAUGGCCUACCAAGGCGACGACGGGUAGCCGGCCUGAGAGGGUGACCGACCACACUGGGACUGGGCUACGGCCCAGGCUCCUACGGGAGGCAGCAGUGGGGAAUAUUGCACAAUGGGCGCAAGCCUGAUGCAGCGACGCCGCGUGAGGGAUGACGGCCUUCGGGUUGUAAACCUCUUUCAGCACCGACGAAGCGCAAGUGACGGUAGGUGCAGAAGAAGGACCGGCCAACUACGUGCCAGCAGCCGCAGUAA
rnacentral:rRNA from 1 species